rnacentral:rRNA from 1 species
UACAGAGGGUGCAAGCGUUGUUCGGAAUUAUUGGGCGUAAAGGGCAGGUAGGUGGUCUUAAAAGUCUACUGUGAAAUCCCUGGGCUUAACCCAGGAAGUGCGGUGGAUACUCUAAGACUUGAGUGCCGGAGGGGUGCGUGGAAUUCUGAGUGUAGCGGUGAAAUGCGUAGAUAUUCGGAGGAACACCAGAGGCGAAAGCGGCGCACUGGACGGCAACUGACACUCAACUGCGAAAGCGUGGGGAGCAAACAGG